rnacentral:rRNA from 1 species
AGCUUCGGCCAUCCGGCGAGGGAUGAGCCCGCGGUGCAUUAGCUAGUUGGUGGGGUAACGGCCUACCAAGGCGACGAUGCAUAGCUGGUCUGAGAGGAUGGUCAGCCACACUGGGACUGAGACACGGCCCAGACUCCUACGGGAGGCAGCAGUCGGGAAUCUUGCGCAAUGGGCGAAAGCCUGACGCAGCAACACCGUGUGUGUGACGAAGGCCUUCGGGUCGUAAAGCACUGUUGUUGGGGACGAAGGGCGAAGGGUUAAUAGCCC